rnacentral:rRNA from 1 species
UGGGAACGUGCCUUUUGGUUCGGAACAACCCAGGGAAACUUGGGCUAAUACCGGAUAAGCCCUUACGGGGAAAGAUUUAUCGCCAAAAGAUCGGCCCGCGUCUGAUUAGCUAGUUGGUGGGGUAAUGGCCACCAAGGCUACGAUCAGUAGCUGGUCUGAGAGGAUGAUCAGCCACAUUGGGACUGAGACACGGCCCAAACUCCUACGGGAGGCAG